AUGACCUCCUCGACCCUUGCUUCUUUGCCCAUGCCGUCUGGCCUCUCGGCGCCGCCGUCUUCCGCUGUCCCCCAACCCUCUGCUAGCCUCAUUACCGUCAAGCUCACCUCCUCCAACUUCCUUCUCUGGAAAGCCCAGAUCCUCCUUCCCCUUCGCAUCGCCGGUGUCACCGGCUUUGUCGACGGCACCACCCCUACUCCUUCUUGCCUCCUCCCGCCUGAUGACAAGGGGGAGCACGCUCCUAAUCCGGAGUAUCCUACCUGGUUCCGUCAGGAUCAGAUUAUCCUGAGCUACCUGCUCGCCUCGCUCACCGACGAUGUGCUUCAGCAGGUGCACCUCUUCGACACCUCCCGCGCCAUCUGGGCGCACCUCGAGGAGAUGUACGUCACGCACUGCCGCGCCAGCGUGAUGCAGAUCAAGAUGGACAUGAUGAACUUCCGCAAGGGCAACCUCUCCAUGGUCGACUACUUCGCCAAGAUCCACUCCAACGCCGAUCAGCUCGCUGCUGCGGGUCGUCCCAUGCGAGAGGAGGACAACAUCACCGCCUUCAUCACCAGACUCGACAGCGACUACGAGCCCCUCAUCACGGCUAUCACAACCCGCAUCGACAUCAUGACAUUGGGAGAACUCUACUCCCAUGCCAUCUCCUUCGAGCGCCGCCGCGAGUAUCACGCAGCUCGUUUUCAACUCCACAUGGGCGGCUCCUCCGUCAACUAUGUCGCUCGCGACAACAACGGCAACACCAACAACCGCGGCAAGGGAAACAACCGCGGCAAGGGCCGCGACAACUCCGGUGACCGCGGUGACUACAACAACAACAACCGCGGUGGGUAUCGCGGUCACCGUGGCGGUGGUGGGAAUCGCCAGAACGGCAACCGUGGUGGUGACCGCGGUGACCAUGGUGGUAGCGGGGAUGCACGUCUGCAGUGCCAACUCUGCCGGGGCCCUGGGCACUAUGCCUGGGAGUGUGCUCAACGCUACAACCACGCCUUCCAACCUCAACACUCCAAGAUGGCGGGAACAAAUUCGGCGCAGAAAAUCCCCUCUCCGGAAACCCAGGCGGAUCCUGUCUCCCGAUCCGAUGCAGGAUCAGCCUCGGAUCACGCGCCGCCUGAGGCCAGCGAUGUGGCGGCAGGCGACCGCGUCGCGACAGGCGACCGCACUGGGCCCGGGCCUUCGCCACCCGCCAACCGCGUGCCUCUUGCGGACGGGCUGCGGUCCACCUGGCGCCUAUGGACCGGGCUGCUUCUGUGGGUCCGCCCGCUGUCGACAUCAGCGGCGCUGGAUCCCAGAUGGAUCUGGCGGCCGCAUCUUCGCCCGCGCCCGACACGGGAUCCCAGGGGGGUUCGCCCGCGCCCCCGCCUGCAUGCCACGGCAUGGCUGGGUACAAUACCGAGCAUGCGAGCCGAGCACGGCAGGGCUGGGUACAAUACCGAGCAAUUGUCUUACAACUUGCAAGUAACCGAGCCUAGUGGAUCGGAAGAAACUUUAAUUAGCUGCGAAAUGAGGAGCCGCCUUUUGCACUGUUCCUCCCUCCUCAUGCUGUGCUUCCUCUCCCGCAGGGCGGCGGCUAUGGCGGCUGCUCCUCGUCUCCCCGUCCGAGCGGUGAACCUCGGCGGGUGGCUGGUGACGGAGGGCUGGAUCCUGCCGUCUCUCUUCGACGGCAUCCCCAACCACGAUCUCCUGGACGGCACGCAGCUGCAGUUCAAGUCGGUAACGCAGAACGCCUACGUGGCCGCGGAGAAUGGCGGCGGUGCGGGGCUGGUGGAGAACCGGCCUCAGGCGUCUGGUUGGGAGACCUUCAAGCUGUGGCGGAUCAACGAGGUGACAUUCAAUUUCAAAGUGUUUGGCAACCAGUUCGUGGGCGUCCAGAGCGACGGCUCGCUGGUCGCGACGGCGGCUGUGCCGAGGCGGCCAGAGAGGUUCCGGCUAGUUCGCAGCCCCAGCGACCAGUACAGGAUGCGGAUCAUGGCGCCGAACGGACUCUUCUUGGAGCUCUGCACUACUCGUACUAUAUUUGCCAACUGGGCAACAAGUGGCUGCUCGCAAGCAAGGUGCAUGUGCGUGGCAAACCCUAUUUAUGACUUAUGA
rnacentral:rRNA from 1 species